UUGGAGGGCAAGUCUGGUGCCAGCAGCCGCGGUAAUUCCAGCUCCAAUAGCGUAUAUUAAAGUUGUUGCAGUUAGAAAGCNCGUAGUUGAAUUUCGGGAUUGACGUGAUGGUCAUGCCUUAAGGGGUAUGAACUGUCACAGUUGAUUUCUCACCUUCUGGAGAAACUUGAUGUCCUUUAUUGGGUGUCUUGCGGAUCCAGGACCUUUACCUUGAAAAAAUUAGAGUGUUUAAAGCAGGCAUUUUUGCUCGAAUACAUUAGCAUGGAAUAAUAGAAUAGGACGGCAUGGUUCUAUUUUGUUGGUUUCUAGGAUCACCGUAAUGAUUAAUAGGGAUAGUUGGGGGCAUUAGUAUUCAAUUGUCAGAGGUGGAAUUCUUGGAUUUAUUGAAGACUAACUACUGCGAAAGCAUUUGCCAAGGAUGUUUUCAUUAAUCAAGAACGAAAGUUGGGGGAUCGAAGACGAUCAGAUACCGUCGUAGUCUUAACCAUAAACUAUGCCGACUAGGAAUCAGACGAUGUUAAUUUUUUAAUGACUCGUUUGGCACCUUACGGGAAAC
rnacentral:rRNA from 1 species